rnacentral:rRNA from 1 species
GACGUAGGAGACGAGUGUUAUCCGGAUUUACUGGGCGUAAAGCGCGUGCAGGUGGUUUGGUUAGUUGGAUGUGAAAGCUCCCGGCUUAACUGGGAGAGGUCGUUCAAUACUGCCAGACUUGAGGAUGGGAGAGGGAGGUGGAAUUCCGUGUGUAGUGGUGAAAUGCGUAGAUAUACGGAGGAACACCUGUGGCGAAAGCGACCUCCUGGCCCAUUCCUGACACUCAGACGCGAAAGCUAGGGUAGCAAACGGGAUUAGAGACCCCGGUAGUCCUAGCCGUAAACGAUGUAGACUUGGCGUCGGUGGGGUAAAAUCCAUCGGUGCCGAAGCAAACGCGAUAAGUCUACCGCCUGGGGACUACGGCCGCAAGGUUAAA